rnacentral:lncRNA from 1 species
GAAAAUUGCGUGUUUGUUCUUGUUUCCGGUUUGCUUCUUGUAGAUAGUGUUCCGAACCAAUUCGGAGUGUGAGGAUUCGUUCGACUAUGUCGGUUCGUCUGCUUCACAGAGUCGAUCUUCUUCCAAGCGAGAUCUCAGGCAAGAUGAUCAUUUCCCUCGAUACCAUUACUAUCAAUGCCAUGCUAGUUGUCUUGUUUCUUUCGUUAUGUCUCGUUACCUCCCACAUAUUAAAUGUCAACCUCCUACAACCUAGCAAACCACUGAUUGGCUAUGUUAUCGCUUGCUUAACCAUGUCUUAGUGUUGC